rnacentral:ncRNA from 2 species
UAGUUCAUAAUUUGUUCUGGUGCUUAUGCAUAACAGGGAAUCCCGUGGAAAUCGGGAGCGGACCCGCCGCUGUGACCGGGGACAAGACCGCUGAAAGCCACUGUCUGGAAAAUUUUGGAUGGGAAGGCGCGGUUUUUUUGGAUGAACCGGGAGUCAGAAGACCUACCAGAAGAAAAUGCCCUCU